GAUGAACGCUGGCGGCGUGCUUAACACAUGCAAGUCGAACGAUGAAGCUGGAGCUUGCUCUGGUGGAUUAGUGGCGAACGGGUGAGUAACACGUGAGCAACCUGCCCCUGACUCUGGGAUAACAGCCGGAAACGGCUGCUAAUACCGGAUAUGCACCAUGAACGAAUGUUUCGUGGUGGGAAAGCUUUUUCGGUUGGGGAUGGGCUCGCGGCCUAUCAGCUUGUUGGUGAGGUAAUGGCUCACCAAGGCGUCGACGGGUAGCCGGCCUGAGAGGUUGACCGGCCACACUGGGACUGAGACACGGCCCAGACUCCUACAGGAGGCAGCAGUGGGGAAUAUUGCACAAUGGGCGAAAGCCUGAUGCAGCAACGCCGCGUGAGGGAUGACGGCCUUCGGGUUGUAAACCUCUUUUAGCAGGGAAGAAGCGAGCGUGACGGUACCUGCAGAAAAAGCGCCGGCUAACUACGUGCCAGCAGCCGCGGUAACAC
rnacentral:rRNA from 1 species